AUGGAUCAACUAUACAACUUACUGUACAUAGUGAGAUACAUACCACUGAUUCUCACUCUAGUUACAGGCAGUUUCACAGAUAAAAUUUGGUCGAAAGAUGAAGAUGCCAAUAUUGUUAUGAAGGAAACAGACAGUGUUACUCUGAGAUGUUCAUAUCAAUCAAGCAGUAAUAGCAUUCGGCUUUACUGGUACAAACAAUAUCCUAACAGCGCACCACAGUUUUUACUGCUUAAAGGAGCGAGGUCAAGAGAUUAUGAAGAGUACAACCCCUCUGGCUCUCGAUUCAAUGCAGAAACUUCCCGAGACUCUACUGAACUUACUAUCAAACAUCUGCAGAUCUCAGAUUCUGCACUCUAUCACUGUGCUCUUAGACACAGGGAGCACAUCAAUUCAAAUGACUGA